UGCUAUUCGGCGUCGAGCGGCGGACGGGUGAGUAAUGCUUGGGAAUAUGCCUUUUGGUGGGGGACAACAGUUGGAAACGACUGCUAAUACCGCAUAAUGUCUACGGACCAAAGUGGGGGACCUUCGGGCCUCAUGCCAAGAGAUUAGCCCAAGUGAGAUUAGCUAGUUGGUAAGGUAAUGGCUUACCAAGGCGACGAUCUCUAGCUGGUUUGAGAGGAUGAUCAGCCACACUGGGACUGAGACACGGCCCAGACUCCUACGGGAGGCAGCAGUGGGGAAUAUUGCACAAUGGGCGCAAGCCUGAUGCAGCCAUGCCGCGUGUGUGAAGAAGGCCUUCGGGUUGUAAAGCACUUUCAGUUGUGAGGAAAGGGGUGUAGUUAAUAACUGCAUCCUGUGACGUUAGCAACAGAAGAAGGACCGGCUAACUCCGUGCCAGCAGCCGCGGUAAUACGGAGGGUCCGAGCGUUAAUCGGAAUUACUGGGCGUAAAGCGUGCGUAGGCGGUUUGUUAAGCAAGAUGUGAAAGCCCAGGGCUCAACCUUGGAACUGCAUUUUGAACUGGCAGACUAGAGUAUUGUAGAGGGUGGUGGAAUUUCCAGUGUAGCGGUGAAAUGCGUAGAGAUUGGAAGGAACAUCAGUGGCGAAGGCGGCCACCUGGACAAAUACUGACGCUGAGGUACGAAAGCGUGGGGAGCGAACAGGAUUAGAUACCCUGGUAGUCCACGCCGUAAACGAUGUCAACUAGCCCGUCUGUAGACUUGAUCUGUGGGUGGCGUAGCUAACGCGCUAAAGUUGACCGCCCUGGGGGAGUACGGCCGCAAGGUUAAAACUCAAAUGAAUUGAACGGGGGGCC
rnacentral:rRNA from 1 species